rnacentral:rRNA from 1 species
AGCUUGCUCCCGGAUGUUAGCGGCGGACGGGUGAGUAACACGUGGGUAACCUGCCUGUAAGACUGGGAUAACUCCGGGAAACCGGAGCUAAUACCGGAUAGUUCCUUGAACCGCAUGGUUCAAGGAUGAAAGACGGUUUCGGCUGUCACUUACAGAUGGACCCGCGGCGCAUUAGCUAGUUGGUGGGGUAAUGGCUCACCAAGGCGACGAUGCGUAGCCGACCUGAGAGGGUGAUCGGCCACACUGGGACUGAGACACGGCCCAGACUCCUACGGGAGGCAGCAGUAGGGAAUCUUCCGCAAUGGACGAAAGUCUGACGGAGCAACGCCGCGUGAGUGAUGAAGGUUUUCGGAUCGUAAAGCUCUGUUGUUAGGGAAGAACAAGUGCGAGAGUAACUGCUCGCACCUUGACGGUACCUAACCAGAAAGCCACGGCUAACUACGUGCCAGCAGCCGCGGUAAUACGUAGGUGGCAAGCGUUGUCCGGAAUUAUUGGGCGUAAAGGGCUCGCAGGCGGUUUCUUAAGUCUGAUGUGAAAGCCCCCGGCUCAACCGGGGAGGGUCAUUGGAAACUGGGAAACUUGAGUGCAGAAGAGGAGAGUGGAAUUCCACG